GUUGGGAUAGAUCAGUUGGGAGAGCGUCAGACUGAAGAUCCGAAGUUCGCGUAUUCGCUUUACGCUCACCACA
rnacentral:tRNA from 1 species